GACGAACGCUGGCGGCGUGCCUAAUACAUGCAAGUAGAACGCUGAAGAGAGGAGCUUGCUCUACAUGGAUGAGUUGCGAACGGGUGAGUAACGCGUAGGUAACCUGCCUGGAAGCGGGGGAAAACUAUGGGAAACGAUAGCUAAUACCGCAUAAAAUUUCUUAUCGCAUGAUAAAACAUUGAAAGGUGCAAAUGCAUCACUACCAGAUGGACCUGCGUUGGAUUAUCGAGUUGGUGGGGGAACGGCUCACCAAAGCGACGAUACAUAGCCGACCUUAGAGGGUGAACGGCCACACUGGGACUGAGACACGGCCCAGACUCCUACGGGAGGCAGCAGUAGGGAAUCUUCGGCAAUGGACGGAAGGCUGACCGAGCCAAGCCGCGUGAGUGAAGGAGGUUUUCGGAUCGUAAAGCUCUGUUGUAAGAGAAGAACGAGUGUGAGAGUGGAAAGUUCACACUGUGACGGUAUCUUACCAGAAAGGGACGGCUAACUACGUG
rnacentral:rRNA from 1 species